UAGGGAAUCUUCGGCAAUGGGGGGAACCCUGACCGAGCAACGCCGCGUGAGUGAAGAAGGUUUUCGGAUCGUAAAGCUCUGUUGUUAAGGAAGAACGAGUGUGAGAAUGGAAAGUUCAUACUGUGACGGUACUUAACCAGAAAGGGACGGCUAACUACGUGCCAGCAGCCGCGGUAAUACGUAGGUCCCGAGCGUUGUCCGGAUUUAUUGGGCGUAAAGCGAGCGCAGGCGGUUAGAUAAGUCUGAAGUUAAAGGCAGUGGCUCAACCAUUGUAGGCUUUGGAAACUGUUUAACUUGAGUGCAGAAGGGGAGAAUGGAAUUCCAUGUGUAGCGGUGAAAUGCGUAGAUAUAUGGAGGAACACCGGUGGCGAAAGCGGCUCUCUGGUCUGUAACUGACGCUGAGGCUCGAAAGCGUGGGGAGCGAACAGG
rnacentral:rRNA from 1 species